rnacentral:rRNA from 1 species
GACAGAGGGUGCAAACGUUGCUCGGAAUCACUGGGCGUAAAGCGCACGUAGGCGGAUCGAUCAGUCAGGGGUGAAAUCCCAGGGCUCAACCCUGGAACUGCCUUUGAUACUGUCGAUCUGGAGUAUGGAAGAGGUGAGUGGAAUUCCGAGUGUAGAGGUGAAAUUCGUAGAUAUUCGGAGGAACACCAGUGGCGAAGGCGGCUCACUGGUCCAUUACUGACGCUGAGGUGCGAAAGCGUGGGGAGCAAACAGG